GAAUCGUUUAGUAGACCAACAGGGAUUACCUCAGUAACGGCGAGUGAAGCGGUAACAGCUCAAAUUUGAAAUCUGGCUCUUUCAGGGUCCGAGUUGUAAUUUGUAGAAGAUGCUUUGGGCAUUGCUCCGGUCUAAGUUCCUUGGAACAGGACGUCAUAGAGGGUGAGAAUCCCGUAUGUGACUGGUGGCAUUUGUCCGUGUAAAGCUCUUUCGACGAGUCGAGUUGUUUGGGAAUGCAGCUCAAAAUGGGUGGUAUAUUUCAUCUAAAGCUAAAUAUUGGCCAGAGACCGAUAGCGCACAAGUAGAGUGAUCGAAAGAUGAAAAGCACUUUGGAAAGAGAGUUAAACAGUACGUGAAAUUGUUGAAAGGGAAGCGCUUGCAACCAGACUUGCAGGUCGUUGAUCAUCCGGGGUUCUCCCCGGUGCACUCGGCGGCUUUCAGGCCAGCAUCGGUUUGAGUGGUGGGAUAAAGGCCUUGGGAAUGUGGCUCCUCUCGGGGAGUGUUAUAGCCCAAGGUGCAAUGCCGCCUAUUCGGACCGAGGACCGCGCUUCGGCUAGGAUGCUGGCGUAAUGGUUGUAAGCGACCCGUCUUGAAACACGGACCAAGGAGUCUAACAUCUAUGCGAGUGUUUGGGUGUCAAACCCAUACGCGUAAUUAACGUGAACGGAGGUAAGAACCCUUAAGGGUGCAUUAUCGACCGAUCCUGAUGUCUUCGGAUGGAUUUGAGUAAGAGCAUAGCUGUUGGGACCCGAAAGAUGGUGAACUAUGCCUGAAUAGGGUGAAGCCAGAGGAAACUCUGGUGGAGGCUCGCAGCGGUUCUGACGUGCAAAUCGAUCGUCAAAUUUGGGUAUAGGGGCGAAAGACUAAUCGAACCAU
rnacentral:rRNA from 1 species